rnacentral:tRNA from 1 species
GAAAAUUUAGUUAAAUUAUAACAUUAGUUUGUCAUACUAAAAUUAUUUUCAAAAUAAUUUUCU